CCCGGUCGUAGUGCAGAGGCAGUCACUCCGCACCCUCACUGCGGCGCACGCGGGUUCGAAUCCCGCCGCCGGGA
rnacentral:tRNA from 1 species